ACACUGAGUUUCUGCGGACAGAACUUAGAUCUCAUAUCGUCAGGUUUGGUAGCAACUGUCUCCUGAUGAGUCAUCUGGCCAGCCCUCAAUUUCUUUUCAAGGUUCUUCUUGAUUUGUGUGCAUGAGUGUGCAUGUGCACGCCCCUGUCAGUGCCCAAGGAAUCUAGAAGAGGGUGGGAAAUCCCGUGGAGAGGGAACCGAAGACAGUUGUGCUCUGCCCCGUGUGGGUGCUAGGAACCAAGCUUGUGUCCUUUGUACCAACACUAUGAACUCUUCUAAGACAUUUUCCAGCUCCAGCUGUUGAGAUUUGGUCUGUUGCUGUGUCGUAAUGCUUAAUACUGGGGCCCAAGGUCUGCUAACCUCCAAGGACCAGGAAAUCCUCACAUAAACCAAAUACUAUGUAACCUUGUCCCCAAGUUAUCCUGAUUGGUCAAUAAAGAUGUCUAUAGCCUGUAGCUAGGCAGAAGAGAGGUAGGCGGAGCUUCAGUUUCCAUGAUUGGGGUCUAAGGAGAGAUCGCAAUUGGGAGAGGAGAGAGGAGAAGAUGCCAAGGGAUAAGUGAAUCAUAAAAUCGUGGCCAUGAGGGCUGGCUGGCUGGCGUAAGAGCAGCUUGGAUGGAACGUGGCAAGUUAUAACUCUGGGUUAUUGUCAGGGAAGUAGGCAAAACAACACAGAAGGCUGAUUUCUGCUCAGCUCUAGUUCUGCUAAGGCACAUUAUAAAUAUAAAGGUAUUGUGUCUUUUAUUUGGGAACUAAAUGAUCAAAGGUAGGGUAGAAACCUCCAAUUAAAUAUUUACCAUGAAGCCCAGCCUUUAAUUUUAUUUUUGAUUUGUUUUAAAGUUAAAAGUGGGGUAGGAAGUUAGGGAUAUAACUCAGUGGUAGAGUGCUUGCUUAGCACAGACAAAGACAAGUUCAAUCCCUAGCACCAAAAGACAAAGGGGGAGGGGGAGAGAGAGAGAGAGAGAGAGAGAGAGAGAGAGAGAGAGAGAGAGAGGGAGAGAGAGAGAGACUUAAAUAGAUCUGAAUGCACACAUGCAAGCACACAAACACAAACACGUACACACACACAUACAUACACACACACAAUGAAUCAAUAUGAGUGCAUUUGAUGUUUAGAUUAGAAAUGGGAUCGUAGGUUUGGGGAAGAUUUCUCAAAGGAGGCAGGAAAUAGAGAGGGAUGAUAAAGGUGUCAGGGAAACAGAAGCAGAGAGUAGCUGGGAGAAGAAAGGGAGCCAGCUAGAGGGGGAGGUGUAGAGAGCGGCGCGGCGAAACAAAGAUGGCGCCGACAUCCAGCCUUGUCUGGAUAUAAACGACUUACUGCGCAUGUGCAGGCUUGUCUCCUUGCUAGGGCUCCCUCUAGUGGUGAACAGCGGUACUGCACAUGUGCGGUUUAUUCACCAGGUGUUAGUUGACCGUUAAUAUGCUAAUGAGGUGAUUCAUUCUCCGCCAAUCCCUGGAGGACAAGUAGUGGGGUGAUCCAAGCCCCACCAAUCCCUGAGAGAUAAUUAGCAUACUGUUGUCUAUAUAAGCCGAGCGAUUUUGCUGCUCGGAGUCCCUGUUCAAGAGAGCUGUAACACUAAGAGAGCUGUAACACUAAGAAGAGCUGUAACACAGUAAAGGCUUGCUCGCAGAAGAAUCCUGUUGCCGCGCGUCGUUCUUGCUGGCGGGACAUUGGGCGCGCGACAAGUGGUGCCGAGACCCGGGAACCAACAUCGCCGGUGCCAGGGGACCCUUCAGUGUGCUGAAGAGGAUUCAGAACUGCGAGAAGGUAAAUUAAAAGGUAAGCUUCGAGAGGCAUGCCCCUUUUUGGAAGAGAGCAUGUCAGAAACGGAGCAGAGUGAGAAAUUAGGCUUCGAGAGGCAUGCCCCUUUUUGGAUUUAAGAGAGCAUGUCAGAAACGGAGCAGAGGCAGAAACGGAGCAGAGUGAGAAAUUAGGAGCUCAAAUUAGGAGCUCGCAAAAAAGAAAAAGGUUACUAAAACAAAAGUGAAAGAGAUACAAAAGGCAGAAGAAACGCUGCCAGAGGAAAAAAUAGGUAUACCCCGGAGGACGAAGUACAAGUCAUCCGGAGAGGAUACUUUGUAUCCAUUAAAAGAAUUAGAAGCCUUAGAACUGGCUGGCAGUGACUCUGAGCAAGAGUUGUCAGAGUCCGAGGAGGAGGAAUUAGAGGAAGAGGCAGCCAUAUAUGAGGAAGAAAGAUAUGGGCCUCGGUGGACAGCCACUGUGAAGAAACCUAAAGUUAUGGAUCCUUUGUGGGCAAGGCUUGUAAUUUUGUUUCUUUUUUUCUUUGUGUGGGAUAGAGAAGCCACAGACGGCAAGCUUAAGCCCGGACCAAAACCUCUUUGGCAAAUGGUCCCUGCCUGCUUAGAGGAUAAACAAUGUGAGGAAGCCGUUAGAGCCGUUAGGACAGAUCAGAGGGUCCUUGCAGAGCAACAAAGUAUGUCAGAGGGAGAAAAGGUCUCCAAAGAAAAAAAGAAAAGAAAAGGAGAUAAAAGGAACAGAGAGAAGGCAGAGAUAAAAAAAGAGGAUAAUCAGGACCAGGAAACAAAUAAGAUGUAUUCUUUAAAAGCCUUGACCUUAGAAAUGUCAGACAAUCUAGAAAGCAUCACUGACAGCUUAGAGAAAGUGAAACUAAAGGUAGAACCAUCGGGUCCCGGGCCUCCCGCAGAGCAACAAGGGAAGCGCAGGACUCGACCUCAGUUCGACCACCAGACUCAUAUUGACCCCUGGAAUAGGAACUCAGGUGGUGGAUACAGAUUUUAAAGGCCCCAGUAAGCAGAAUUCAGAAGGAUCACAGAAACUGAAAGCAUGUGCAAAGAUAAAGAUUUGGGGUAGUGGUAGUGGACAAGGUAAUAAUGGUAAAAUGUUUUUGUGUAUGUGUUCUUUUAGAGUUAUAUUAAAAUCUAGAGAAGCAAAGUUGAUUCUCAUAGAUGCUUCUAGUCUUUGGACCCUGACUAGAGACAGUUUACACCGUGGACAAGAGAGAGAAUGGGGUUGAGAAAAACAUUCCUCCCGAACUCUCCACAGAUGCUUUGGCAAAAGAAGGAAAUGAGCUUAAACUUUUUGGAGCUCUCCUGGGAACAGAAGGAGGUGGGAGACGUCUUGCCUCCUUGCUGGCUCCUAUUGGAGAAGUGCUUAUUUCUGGUUCUGGGUUCUUUAGGUAGGAUGUUUGGGUCCUUUUGGUGGAACACCAUCUAGUUCUUUUCCUCUGUGUCUAUUGUCUGUCCUUGGUGCACCAAGCUGUCCAUGUAUGUCAAUUUAUGUCUGGGUUUUGCUUCUCCUUGCUUGAAUGUUUUGUGUUUCAUGUUUAAAAGAAAAGGUUAAAAUUUUAAAUGCUGGUUGAUUCACCCAUUGAUGUAGCUUUAACUCCUUUCAAGAAAGGAACAAAUAAAUAAAAAGUUUCAAUUGGCUUUUGGAGCCUGCAUCUGUAGCUAGAAGCCUAAGUCGGCUGGGCAAGCUCCCCAGGGGGCUGGCUAAAUGUUUACACUAGCCGAUCCUAAAGACACAAGGAGCUUCACAGCUUCUAAGGUAACGGAACUGAUCGCUGUCUCUCUUAGAAAAAUCUUUGACUGUGAUUAUUGGACUCAACAGGUGACAAGGUGUUUCUCUUAAAACUACAGCUAGAAAAAGUAAAAAUGGUGAUUGAUUUAAAUAUUAAAGGUAUGUGUAGCCACUUCAUUUUUGUUUUCUGAUUGGUUUUAAAUGAAUGAAUAUUCUCUACAUGCCUUGGUUAUGGACUAUUGGCUUUUAAGUUAUUGGAUAUGGUUUAAAAAAAAAAUGUAACAUUGGAGGAAAGUAGAAGAUUAGAAAAGGCAAUGCUAAGAAGGUACAAGGAAAAGGAAGAUCUGCUUUUGUGUAUACUAAGAACCUUUUGUCAGCAUACAGGAGUGCUAUGGCAACAAGGUCCACUUCUUUGGAUUUAUCCCCAUACUUCUCCAAAUAAGACCCUUGAAUAUUACACUUCUGCUGUUGCACAGCUUGCUGUGUUAGGCGUUAAAUCUUGUAUUCAGCAUUUUGGUAUUUUACCCAAGAAAAUUAUUAUACCAUAUACAACAGCUCAAAUAGAAACAUUGUGUGCCUUGAUAGAUGAUUGGGCCAUAUUACGCUGUAGUUUUGAUGGAGAGUUUGACAAUCAUUAUCCUAAGGAUCCUUUGCUACAAUUUUUUUUUUACUGAACAUCCAGUGAUCUUUCCUAAGAUCACUGCCUCAGAGCCUUUGCCAGAGCCUUUGUUAGAUAUUUAUACAGAUGGCUCCAAAACAGGUGUAGGUGCCUAUAUGGUUGAUUCUCAAGAACCAGUAUUAAUUCAAUACAGUCCAGGUACCCCCUAAAUUACAGAAUAUAAAAUUGUAUUGAAAGUUUUCAAAAGAUUUCAUGAUUAUUUUAAUUUAAUUUCUGAUUCUGCUUAUGUAGUUAAUGCUGUGCACUCACUUGAAAUUGCAGGGCCAAUUUGGUCGAGUAGUACCGUAUGUCAAAUUCUUUUAGAAUUACAAAAUUUGAUUUGGGCCAGAAAAAAUAAAAUUUUUAUACAACAUAUUCGAGCCCAUACUAAUUUGCCUGGUCCCAUGACCAGUAAUAACACCCUGGUGGAUGCUAGUACUCGUAGAGAGUUUAUUUUUCAUGCCACUCCGGUUGAUCUCGCUAGAGGAUUUCAUCAAAAGUUUCAUGUACCUGCUUUUACUCUUCAACAAAAAUUUAAAAAUCUCUAGAGCUGCAGCUUGUGAUGUGGUGUUACGUUGCCAAAAUUGUGUUCAAUUUCACCACCCUCCUCAUGUGGUAUUAACCCUCGUGGUCUGAUCCAGCUAAAACUUUGGCAGAUGGAUGUCACACACAUAUCUCAAUUUGGAAAUUUAAAAUAUGCUCAUGUUUCUGUUGAUACCUAUUCUGGUAUUAUACAUGCUACUCUGAUGACUGGUGAAAAGGCUCGUAAUGCCAUUAGCCAUUGCUAAAACUUUGGCAGAUGGAUGUCACACACAUAUCUCAAUUUGGAAAUUUAAAAUAUGCUCAUGUUUCUGUUGAUACCUAUUCCGGUAUUAUACAUGCUACUCUGAUGACUGGUGAAAAGGCUCGUAAUGCCAUUAGCCAUUGCUUAGAGGCAUGGGCAGCCUGGGGAAAGCCUGAUAGUCUCAAGACAGACAACAGGCCUGCCUACACUGCAAAGUCCUUUCAGGCAUUUUGCCAGACAAUGCAGGUCAAACAUACUACAAGAUUGCCAUACAAUCCCCAAGGUCAAGGAAUUGUGGAAAGAGUACAUCGUACCUUAAAAGAGCUUAUACAAAAACAAAAAGGGGGAAUUGCCAGCAGCUGAACACCAAAAGAACAACUUUCUUUAGCUCUUUUUACUCUAAAUUUCUUAAUUCUGGAUGCGCAUGGCCGUUCUGCCACGGAUCGCCAUGCUGCUACUACACCUAUAACUAAUGUAGAAGUAAAUUGGAAGGAUGUCUUAACUGAUGAAUGGCGUGGCCCAGAUCCCGUGAUUUCGAGAUCUAUGGGGAGCGAUUUGUGUUUUUCCGCAGAAUCAAGAAAAUCCAAUUUGGGUACCUGAGCGUUUGACUCGAAAAUUGCCUUCUGCUCUUCCUGAAGAUGAGACUACGAACCCUACUAUUACUACUGGGAAUGAGCAAAGAAAUCUCGAAUUAUCUGAAAGGAAACUGGUCCAUGAAAGCAGAGCAACUAUCAAGACAAUUGCUGAUGCAGAUUGCUGUCCUCAACAGCACUAGGCUGGACCCCAUCACAGUUGAAGACUUUACCUCAUGGGUUACCAAUGCUUUCUCCCUUGUUAAGGAGUGGGCGGGCAUGUUUGUCCUGGGGAGUUAUUGUCCUCCUGGGAUGCGGAGUAGGUCUCUGGCUUAUUGGCUGUUUAAAAAGAGAACAUGCCAGACACAAAGUGGUUGUUUACCAGGCUAUGACCACCAUUAAAAAGGGUGCUUCUCCCAACAUAUGGCUGGCCUCUUUGAAAGAUCAAGAGUUCGCCCUAGAUCAUUUUUGUCACAGUCAUGUGGAGUCAUUGUAUCCAGGGACGGGCAACUUUCCUCGAACUCGGACCAACCUAAGACACGGGGCCCGGUGGCGAUAGGGUAACUCUAUGACGGGUAAGGCCGAGUUUGGAUGAGAACGACCUAAGACAGGAGCAAUGACAAGAUUGACGUGACACCCAGAUCUAGACCAGUCAUUUUAUUAAACAAAAAAGGGGGAGAUGUAGAGAGCGGCGCGGCGAAACAAAGAUGGCGCCGACAUCCAGCCUUGUCUGGAUAUAAACGACUUACUGCGCAUGUGCAGGCUUGUCUCCUUGCUAGGGCUCCCUCUAGUGGUGAACAGCGGUACUGCACAUGUGCGGUUUAUUCACCAGGUGUUAGUUGACCGUUAAUAUGCUAAUGAGGUGAUUCAUUCUCCGCCAAUCCCUGGAGGACAAGUAGUGGGGUGAUCCAAGCCCCACCAAUCCCUGAGAGAUAAUUAGCAUACUGUUGUCUAUAUAAGCCGAGCGAUUUUGCUGCUCGGAGUCCCUGUUCAAGAGAGCUGUAACACUAAGAGAGCUGUAACACUAAGAAGAGCUGUAACACAGUAAAGGCUUGCUCGCAGAAGAA